AACCAGUUUUAAGGACCAGGAUGAUAGUUUACUGGGUGGGACACACACUUUGCCAUGUGCUCAGUCCAGGUUCAAGCCCCAGCAGGCACCAUGUGGCACUGGGAGAACCUCCAGUUCUGUGGUGCCAUUCUCUUUCUCUGUCUCUUAACCUGAAUGAAAGAAUUGGCCUGGGAGUUGUGGAAUCGUGUGAUUUUGGGUUAAUGUUGGCCUUCCUCCCCUUCAACUGGCAGUGACUUUCCUUCACAUUUCUCACUCUUUUGUCCUUUCUUUUUUCAGAAUCUAUACUCAUAUUACCUACAUAUAUAUUUAUAUACACAAAAAUUUUUUUUUCUUCAGUGUAAUCAAGUCUGUUAUUAAAGCUUAUUCUAUCGUAUUGAUUUCAGGAUUUGUUUGGUUUCUUAUAUAUCUGGGGCGUAUGCAUGCAUGAUUACACUGCUAACAUGCUGCUUUUUAUUUCAGGUAGGCAGAUAAAAGGAAAGAGACAGAAAGGAGUAGAGAAGACGGAGAGAUGCAACACUGCAUCAUUAUCCAUGGAACUUCCGUUCGUGCCAUGGUAAUCCCAUAUGCCAGGAUUUGUGCCCUACCAUCACUCUUUUGCUUUACUUUUUGUUCCUCUAACUUGUGCAAUUUUAUUACUCCCAGGCUUUUUAUUUUAUUUUUUUUUCCAUUCUUUUGAUUUCAGAUAGGGAGUGAUGGAAAAGAAGGGACACUAUGGCACCCUUCCACUACAUCUGGAGCUCCACUUGGUGCCAUCCAUGGGACUUUGAUGAAGUGUCUCCCACACUUGAAAUGAAGACUUAAAUUCAAGUCCUUAUUAAUGAGCAAGGAUACACUCUACCAGUCUAUAGGUCUCCUACCUCUGGGACAAUCACAGCUGUUGCCUGGAACUUGUGGAACACCACUGAGCCUCACAGAAACUAAAAACAUGGAGUUGGGAAUACAUCAAAAACCAUUUCUUCAUCUAGGCUGGUGUAUACUCCAUGAAGAUUCUUAUCCAUGCACACCAGGAUGCUACAAGGAAAAUCUCGGGGCCAGGGGUCAGGUGGUGGCACACCUAGUUGACUGAGCAUGUUAUAAUGCAUGAUGACCCAGGCUUGAUUCCCAGUCACCAUCUGCAGAGGCCAAAUUUUGCGAGUGAUGAAGCAGGACU